UUGAAUUCUUGUUAAUGCAUUCUUUAACCAGAGUUUCUCACUCACUGCCCUUUUAUAUUUGAUAUCCUUUAUUACUAAAUAUCCCUAAUAUUUAUUAUCUCGUUUCCUGCACAUUAAUGAAAUCAUUUUAAACAGAUGGUGUUAAGGCAAGGGGACUUAAAAUUUUGUCAUCCAAGUCCUAUUAACUGAAGACCAAAUAAUGGAAGCAACAUAAUAAAACUGUUGCUAACAUGGGGCACAUUCUUCGGUUUAUUAGGACUAAUCAGUACAACUAGAAUAGGACCAUGAAUAAGUUGUUAAAAUUCAGGACUCCUCUUGUCCCAGAACCCCCCACCAUUAAUUUUGUGCUCUUUUCCUGAGCCCAAAUACUUCAACAGAAAAACUAAGAAAAUACCAAAGAUCACUAAUUCAGAACCCAGAAUAAUUCUAAUUCAGACUAUCAAACACUAGGCACUAAACUGUAAAGACAUAUAUCCUGCCAGGUAUGGUGGUGCAUGCCUUAAUCUCAGAGGCUUGGGAGACUGAGCCAGGAGGAUCACUAGUUCAAAGUCAGCCUCAGAACUCAGGGAG
rnacentral:lncRNA from 1 species